rnacentral:lncRNA from 1 species
UUACAAUCUCUAUGAAUCCUCUGAUUCGCCUUUUUGAAUAUAAAUUCAAGGGCUUAAAGCUUAGUUUUGAAUUUGAAUUUGAUUUGAUAGACUUGAGGGACUUGAUCUUGACUUGUACUUGAAUUCAAGAGCUUUUGAGCUUGUUCUUGAAUAUUGCGGUCUUGAUCUUGAACUUUGAUAAACUUGAUUUGAAUGUUUGAGAUUUUUAGAGAAAUUGCGGCGUUUGAUCCAUGAGCUUUCUCUUGCUACUUGUUAGAGUUCUGGGGUCUCUCUUCUGAAUUAUGAGACCCCUAUUUAUAGUUGUAGGAAAGGAAGAGUUGUGAUGAAUAUGGACUUCCUUUGACCAAUCAGAUUUAAGUGAUGUGGCCCUUUUUAUGGGCUUUUAUUUCAUGGGCCUGCUGCAUCAGUUUGACAUGUGGCACGGUCCUAUUGGCUGCUUCACUUGACUUGGCAUGCCACGUCAUUUGACACGUGGCGCUUAUUUGGACCUCUAGAAUAUGACAAUAUUCUUGGACUUAGCAAAGUGGGCUCAUUAUUAAUAGCCCAAAUUAAUUGGCUAGCCCAAUAAAAAUUGAACUUUAAUUAAAUCCAUAUAUGUUUGGACUUAAAUAAUUAAUCUAAUUAUAUUAAUCCACAAUAUUUAUUUAGAACUACUUGUAGACAUCUAAUUUUGUCGCUCUCAAGUCCAAUUUAUCCAUUUUUUACCUUUUGAUAUUAUACACCCUCAUACAUGUGAUUAUACCCCACAAAAAUACAACAAUUCCUAACAAAUCAAAUCCCUCAUAUUCUCUUAUCCUAACAACCUACCCAAUUAAAAUAAACCACAUCAUACCCUGCCCCUACCCCUACCCCCACCUCACUACCCCACCUACCCUUCCCCACUACCACAUAAUUCUCAUUCUGACCAGAAAACCAUCAACACACCUCACAGCAUACAUACACACACAAUAUCCACGCACAGGACCAGAAUAUUCACGCAUCAUCCUCAUCGGAACUCCAUUCUUCACACACAUCUAUCACCGAACAUACAAACCCAAUAAUAAAAAAAUGAUAGAAUUUAGGGAGGAAGAGAAUCGGAACGGAGAGCAACACAGUGAAGAAAAAGAGCGAAAUCGAGGAACUGAAAUAGAGAAGUAAAUCGAAAGGGAGAAAGAGAUCGAGGGAGGGAGAACAAAAGGAGGAUCAUCUUCUUCCUUUUUCCAAGGAAGAAGCUCCAUUUUUGGGUUUCAUUUUUGAUUCAUCAAGAACAAUACACACACACUACAUAGUAAAGGAGGGAAAGGAAAUUUGAACGAGAGUGAAUCGAGAGAAGAUAAACAAAGAGAGGGAUGACAGGAAAAUGAUGUGAGAGAUAGAGAUCGGGGUGACCGAAGAAGGAGAAAUUGAGACAGAUCGAAGAAAGAGAGAGUGAAAAUAAGAAGAGAGAGAGAGAACUGGUGGUGGUAGACUGUUCCGGCGAUUCGCCGCCGGAAAAAGUGUCAUCGCAGCUCAAAAUUUGAUCCAAUUUUUUUAGUUCUAUUCCUUCUGAUCUCGUCAGAGUUCGUCAGCUCCGUCCCAUUUCGGGUAACGCUGAAACGGACGACCCAGGUCAUAAAUCCCAAAAUUUUCCAAUUUUUUUGGUGGUUUCUAGGCUAACCCGGCCGGAAAACACUAGAAGUCACCGGAAUCAGCCUUUCUCGUUGACAUUCGCGACUGUUCGAGUUCAUCAAAACUCCGGGCAUGUAGUUUUCUUGGUUUUCUUGUGAUUCUCAUUUUUUUGGGUUCACUGUUCGUCGUGGUUUCAGGAAUUCGAAUUGGAUUUUGAAGACUAUCAGGUUGGAGUUGGAUCAUAGUUGAGAUUGUGGUAUUCUUCGAGGCUCCAGGACGGCUCUUAUUUCUCUUCUUAAAUCAAUCAAAAUCUUUUGAGGUCUAAUUCUAUUCUUUUCCUCUUUUAUUUCUCAUUGUUUACUAUAUUUGAUGUGUUGGACUUAAUAUCGUGUGUUGACUUGAUCCCUGUUGGUGAUGAAUGUAUGUUUGUUUUGAUUCUUGGUUGGUCCCUUGAUUAUGGUUUGUAUGGUGAAAUGGUCUCUCGUUUGAGAAAUAAAAUUUGUUAUUUGGGGCGCGAAUUGAAAAAAUUGCUAAAGUGAAUUAGGAUUAAUUUUGAUUUAUUGUUGUUUUGAUUCAUGGACGCCGUCGAUCGUGAUAGUGCCAUGAUAGGUCAAGUUGGGUAGGCAAACAGUAGGCUUGGGUAGGCAAAGUUUAGUAUCUGUGAUUGUUGAAUGAUGAAAUAUUUGUGGAGUGGUUUUGAUUUAUGCAUUGAGAUCUAUUGUAUUCAUUUGGCCGGGGAAUGUCCUGAGAGAUUUGUAUUCAUUUAUCCGAGGAAUGCCCCGAAGUAUCAUGUGCUUGAAGACGGCGCACGAUCAAGGCCCGGAACGUUGGGUGGAGAAAGCAAUGGAGCGUAGUUAGGAUUAGCCUAGAAUAGAGUAGGUUUAUAUUUCCGUAUCUUUUUAUUUCGAGACUGUAUAAUUGGACUGAACACUAAAUUUUGGAUUGUUUUAUUUUGUUUUGCUUGAUUGAUUGUUUUGUGUGCCUUGUGUGGUUUAUACAUUCGUAGUGUCAAAUUAGCCGAUAUGCUCCACCAAACGACCGUAGUCUAACCACGGGAUCAAGGGGUGCCUAACACCUUCCCCUCAGUCAACAGAAUUCCUUAGUCGGAAUCUCCGUUCGCAAAUUAGUUUUACAGAGUCGAAAUUAUUUUUGAAAAAGGAUGUCCAUAGGUGACUUGGCACACCCGAUUUAUGCUAAGUGGCGACUCUGAGUUUUGAGUGUAAAUAAUCCUUUUCGAAAAUAAUUUUCAUCUUUCGUCACUUUAAUAAUAAAACCCUUUCGAACCAUGAAAUUAAUCUUUUGGAGUACGAAAAAGGGGUGUGACACUACUAUAUUUUGAAUUUAAUAUUCCGAAUUUUGUACGGAUUUAAAUUUAAUAAAAUUGCAUCGCCCACAAAUGCCUUCUACUUCAAGACUUGUCGACACAUUUAAUAUUUUGGAGACUAGCCUUGAAGUAUGAUUAUUUAAGCAUGUUUCCUUUGUGUUUCAACGAUCCUCAUACCUAUGAAUACCACAUUCAAAAAUUUAAAGUCGAACUAUAUUGAUAUUGCCUCUCAUAACUCUCUCAUUUUUUCUACGAAUCUCUACACUUAAGACCCAUUGGUGAGGCAUGAUAUUCAAUUUCAAACAGAUUUUCGAAGACUUUUUUAUCGCCUUACUUAAUCAUGAAUAAAAAUCUUCCGAUUUGAACUUAGAUUGGAGAAGGAAACAACCUCCAAUUUGGCUUUGUAUGGGAGAAAGAAACAAUCUUUGAUUUGAAUUUGUAUGGAAGAAGGAAAUAACCCCCAAUUUGAAUUUGUAUGGGAAAAGAAAANNNNNNNNNNNNNNNNNNNNNNNNNNNNNNNNNNNNNNNNNNNNNNNNNNNNNNNNNNNNNNNNNCAUCGCCCACAAAUGCCCCCUACUUCAAGACUUGUCGAGACAUUUAAUAUUUUGGAGACUAGCCUUGAAGUAUAAUUAUUUAAGCAUGUUUCCUUCAUGUUUCAACGAUCCUUAUAUCUAUAAAUACCACAUUCAAAAAUUUAAAGCCGAACCAUAUUGAUAUUGCCUCUCAUAACUCUCUCAUUUUUUCUACGAAUCUCUACACUUAAGACCCAUUGGUGAGGCAUGAUAUUCAAUUUCAAACAGAUUUUCGAAGACUUUUUUAUCGCCUUACUUAAUCAUGAAUAAAAAUCUUCCGAUUUGAACUUAGAUUGGAGAAGGAAACAACCUCCAAUUUGGCUUUGUAUGGGAGAAAGAAACAAUCUUUGAUUUGAAUUUGUAUGGAAGAAGGAAAUAACCCCCAAUUUGAAUUUGUAUGGGAAAAGAAAAAAAUCCCCAAUUUGAAUUUGUAUGGGAAAAGAAAACAAUCUCUAAUUUGAAUUUAGGGAUAGAAAUUAUUUCAAUCUGAAUUUAAAUUGGAGAAGAAAACAAUCUCCAAUUUGAAUUUAGAGAUGAAAACUAUUCCAAUCUGAAUUUAUAUUGGAGAAGGAAACAAUCUCCAAUUUGAAUUUGGAGAUGGAAAUUAUUCCAAUCUGAAUUUAUAUUGAAAAAGGAAACAAUCUCCAAUUUGAAUUUGGAGAUUGAAAUUAUUCCAAUCUGAAUUUAUAUUGGAGAAGGAAACAUCCAUCCUACAAAUCUAUAAAAGGAGGUAGUUUCUCUACUUUUUCAAUAUCAAUUUUGGGGUUUUCAAGCCAUCAACAAUAUUGAGGUAAUUUCUUUUCCUCCUACUUUUCUCUUAUUUUCGUCACUUUUUUUUCAGCACAGCAUGUUGGUGGUAGAAAAUUCAUAUCUAAUUGUAGGAAUAUCGAAAUCAUGAACCGUUUGAUAUUACAGAAACUAGACUUCAAGAUAUAUAACAUAUCCAAAAUUCAGCUUCAAAUUCUUUCAAUAUAAUUCUCGAUAAUUUUUUGAAGUUAGCCCUGAAUUUUAUCAUGAUAAAAAUUUCAGAUCUGCGUGACUUUACUAAACCUUUCAUAUCUUGAAGUAGAAAAGAUGAAAUCACAAGCUGCUUAAUUCUUGUGAAACUAGACACAAAGAUCUAUAAUAUAUCCAAAAUUCAUAAUUUAAUACAAUUGAAAUAUUUUCAGGUGUUAUCCCAAAAUUAACAUUGAGUUUUGAUGCAUCAACAAUUUCAGAUUUACGCGACAUCAUCAAAAAAAUUAUAUCUCAAUGUGAGAGUAUUGAAAUUAUGAUCCGCUUAAUCCUACAGAUGCCGGAAACAUGCAUGUAUAACAUAUCAAAAAUUUAGAUUUUAACACCUUUUUUAUUGGUCUAGAUGAUUUUUUUGAUGUCCAUCUUGACAGAGGAUUCCAGAUUUGCAUUGCCUCACCAAAUAAUUUAUUUCUUGAUGUGGGACCAUCACCACCAAAGGGCGUUUUUAUUUCCUCAAACCAGAUUUUGAGGAAUUUAUUCUCAUCAAGGCAUCUUAUCUCAAUCGAAGUUGGUGAUAUACAACUUUUAAGAUCACAACGCUUUGAUAGGUAACAUCCUUUCUAUUUGUAUUUUUGCUUUCUUUCUUGUUUCUUCUCUUUUUUUUUUUUUUGGAGAAUUGAAACAGAUAGCAAUAUGAAAUAAUCGGCUUAGGGUGCGAGAGUUUAACUUCGCCUCCAUCGUGGACAUCGGCUUAAGGUGCGAGAGUUUAACUUCGCCUCCAUCACCUUAAGUCCGACCAAUUUUACUUGAAGAUGGUGGACAUCGGCUUAAGGUGCGAGAGUUUAACUUCGCCUCCGUUACCUUAAGUCCGACCAAUUUUACUUGAAGAUGGUGGACAUCGGCUUAAGGUGCGAG